UACGUAGGAGGCGAGCGUUGUCCGGAAUUACUGGGUGUAAAGCGCGUGUAGGCGGUGAGUUAAGUCUGUUGUGAAAGCGCCCGGCUCAACCGGGCAGAGUCAAUGGAAACUAGCGCACUGGAGGUCGGUAGAGGCGAGUGGAAUUCCCGGUGUAGUGGUGAAAUGCGUAGAGAUCGGGAGGAACACCAGUGGCGAAGGCGGCUCGCUGGGCCGGACCUGACGCUGAGGCGCGAAAGCGUGGGGAGCGAACAGG
rnacentral:rRNA from 1 species